UACAGAGGUCCCAAGCGUUGUUCGGAUUCAUUGGGCUUAAAGGGCGCGUAGGCGGCGGUGUAAGUUGGAAGUGAAAUCCCAUCGGCUCAACCGUGGAAUUGCUCCCAGUACUGCAUCGCUCGAGGGGGAUAGGGGUUUGCGGAACUACCGGUGGAGCGGUGAAAUGUGUUGAUAUCGGUGGGAACGCCAGUGGCGAAAGCGGCAAACUUGACCCUUCCUGACGCUGAGGCGCGAAAGCUAGGGGAGCAAACGGG
rnacentral:rRNA from 1 species